rnacentral:lncRNA from 1 species
ACAGACAUGGAAUGGAUAUAGCAAAGGAUGACACAGAGACAAAGUCUGGUGCAGUAGGCAACCUCUACUGAUCAUGAAGGUGUCUUGCAAACUGGAUCCACUGGGUAGAAGCAAUGCAGAACAGCUUGACAGCUGAAGGAUAUCAUUGUCAACACAAGGAAUCUACAUCACACAUGCCAUGGGAAGCUGACACUGCCUCAUUCUACUCAUAGGGGCCUUACAACUGCAGGACUCUUAUAUGUCUUAUCCUACAUUGGGAUCCCUGCUUGUGACAGAAGUUCCCCAUUCCAGAUGGAGCUCCCUAGCACAAAACAUCAACAGGCCACAAGUGACAGCUGCAACAGCAGUGGAGCAAAGCAAACUGUAAGAAGCUGCUGCCAAUUUCCAGAGACUUCAGACUGGCACCCGAAGAGUCCACAGGUGUGAGCCACAGUGACUGCCUACUGAUUGAGUCUGGGGAUCCUUGUGAACCGCCUGAACAAUGCUGGGAAAUGCCUGUGCCUGAGUGACCCCAGCUAUGGCCAGUACUCAAUUACUACUUUGGCCUUUUGGUACUGUCCCAAAAGAAGCUGCUAUCCUGAAUUCAGUGGCCAGGGACUAUCGGCAACUGAAAGCAUUUAACAGUAUAGGAUAAAGACUUAGAAGAGUCCCCUGUGAGUGGAAUCAGGCACUGUCAGCUUCCCAUGGCACAUGUGAUGUGGAUUCCUUGUGAUGACACUGUGAUCUUCAGCUCUCAAGCCAUUGAGAACCUGAAAAGAAAUGGGACCAGAAACAAUAGAGGAAUGAAAAUAUAGGAGAAGGGUUUAAGGAUCCAGAGUUCCAGGGAGCUGUCUUCAGGGCUGAGAACUGUAACACUAAUCCCUGUACAGGAUUUCUCAGACACUGGAUCACCAGCCAGACAGCAUACACCAGCUGAUAUGAGGCCACCAACACAUAUACAAGAGAGAACUGCCAGCAUUCAGUUAGACACACAUGAUGUCUACUUCCCUGACUGACUCUACCUAAUUUUAAAGCAAAACCAUAUCUUAUCAUGGUUAAUUUCCCACUGAAACUGAGUUUAGAUUUCAUUGCCUAAUUGAAAGGAAUUUUGAACUCAUCAUAUAAAAUCAAGUAAUGU